UUUUUAUCAUUUUUAAUACAAAUUGGUGACAUUGCCUAAGUAUUAUUGAAAGUAAUUGGGUGUUUUUCUAAGCAUUCAAUUAUUAGUAUAUGAUACUCAAGACUGUUAUCCCACUGUUUGAGUACUUUCUAAUGUGUUUAUAAUUUGAUAAUUAAUGUCUUUAGCCUCUUUAUGAGAGGUUAAGAAUCCAUCUAGCAAUGUUACAUAUGUUACGUACUAUCCCAACUCAAUAAUUUCUCACACACGCCUUUUGGUGUGUGUGUUUUUCUAGAACGUCAAACACAACAUUUAAAAUAUGUUUACAGAUUUUAAAUCUUUAAGCAUAAACGGUGGAUACCUCGACUCCUAAAUCGAUGAAGACCGUAGCAAACUGCGAUAAUUCACUUGAAUUGCAGCCUACUGGGAUAGUUGAAACGUUGAACGCACAUGAUGACAUCGGUCCUUUUGGAUUAGGUGUUAUAUUUGGGUGAGAGUCACUUAGACAAAUUGGUUGUCGAUGAGUGGGCCUUCGGGUUUGCUCAUUGCGAUGCAGGUGGAUGUCUUGGCUGGGGGUAGCCGCAAGGUCCUCGGAGAUUUCAUUGCUUGCCCGGGGUGAUUCCCCUGUUUGUUUAUCUGUCAUAGUAGAAAAGUUACAACAAUAUUGAUAACUAACCGGAGAAUAGUGUUCUAGUCUCUUACUUCUAUUGAUGCUUUCUUUCAUCGCUUUGUUAUGAUGCUUUUUUUGAAGCUCUCUUUGAUUAUUCCUUUUUUUAGGUUUUCUUUUUGUUUUUUCUUUUUCAAACUUUUUUGUUCUGACUUUUUUCAAACUUUUUGUUUUUCUUAUGUUGAAACUUUUGAUUUCUUUUUGAUUCUCUUUCUUUUCAUUCGCCGUCAAAAAGCGGGUGGGAAGUUUGGGGAGAGGAAAGGGAAAGGGAGUUUUGGGGUAAGAGGGGGGAAAAGCGAGGGAUUAGAAGGGGGGAAAGAGGGGGGAUUAGAAGGGGGGAAAAGCGAAUUUUUAAAUGGGAAUGAGAGGAUGAGAGAGAUGAUAAUUAAGAGGAUGACAUUGGGAUGGGUUAGAUAGAUAGAAGUCAAGAAAAACUUCUUUUUAGAUGGACAACGAGUAUUAUUGUCACCAACAAUCGAUCGUUUUAACGAAACAUAGUUGGAGGGCAUUAAGAUAUCGCGACCUACUAAUUAGAGGGGUAGGACAUUGGGUUGGACCUUCAAUGUAAUGGACGCUAUGGUUAUACAGAUUAGUGGUAUUGUGGGCAUGUAUGUAUUAAUGCUUAUAUGUGGUUUAUGCUGAUGUAAAAAGUUGGUAUAAAUUGGGUAUAUAGUGUUUAUGUUAUGCGCCAUUCGUGAAGUGCAGAGUUUGUUCGGCUCUCAUAAGGCUCUUUAAUAUCCAAA
rnacentral:misc_RNA from 1 species